rnacentral:rRNA from 1 species
GUUGAACGCUGGCGGCGUGCCUAAUACAUGCAAGUCGAGCGAACGGACGAGAAGCUUGCUUCUCUGAUGUUAGCGGCGGACGGGUGAGUAACACGUGGAUAACCUACCUAUAAGACUGGGAUAACUUCGGGAAACCGGAGCUAAUACCGGAUAAUAUUUUGAACCGCAUGGUUCAUAAGUGAAAGACGGUCUUGCUGUCACUUAUAGAUGGAUCCGCGCUGCAUUAGCUAGUUGGUAAGGUAACGGCUUACCAAGGCAACGAUGCAUAGCCGACCUGAGAGGAUGAUCGGCCACACUGGAACUGAGACACGGUCCAGACUCCUACGGGAGGCAGCAGUGGGGAAUAUUGGACAAUGGGCGAAAGCCUGACCGAGCCAUGCCGCGUGUGUGAAGAAGGUCUUCGGAUUGUAAAGCACUUUAAGUUGGGAGGAAGGGCAGUAAGUGAAUACCUUGCUGUUUUGACGUUACCAACAGAAUAAGCACCGGCUAACUUCGUG